rnacentral:rRNA from 1 species
UCUGACCUCGAAUCAGGUGGGACUACCCGCUGAACUUAAGCAUAUCAAUAAGCGGAGGAAAAGAAACUAACAAGGAUUCCCUUAGUAACUGCGAGUGAAGUGGGAUGAGCUCCAAUUUAAAAUCUGGUAGUCUCUGGCU